rnacentral:rRNA from 1 species
UACGGAGGUCCCAAGCGUUGUUCGGAUUCACUGGGCGUAAAGGGUGCGUAGGUGGUCGGGUAAGUCUGAUGUGAAAUCUCCGGGCCUAACCCGGAAACUGCAUCGGAUACUAUUCGGCUAGAGGGUUGGAGGGGGGACUGGAAUACUUGGUGUAGCAGUGAAAUGCGUAGAUAUCAAGUGGAACACCAGUGGCGAAGGCGAGUUCCUGGACAACUCCUGACACUGAGGCACGAAAGCUAGGGGAGCAAACAGG